GGCGUUGAAAGGGUCCCCACUCUCCCAGGAAGGCUGUCACCUCGUCGUAGUCCCGCAUGUCUCAGCUCCUCGUAGAUAGAAGGUUUCCCCAGGGGAAAGAUGAGAAGACCGAUGACUGAAGCCCCGCAGUGGGCACCUGCCUGAUCCUGGGACAGAAACUGCUACAAAAUCUGGCAGGACACCAAGACUUCCCUGUCAGGCCUAGACAAAUGACAUCCUGCAUCACUGACCAUCAGGCCAGAGAAUUUCCCACCCCUAGUGACUGGGGUUCCCAACCCUCAUAAGGAUGUCCAUUGAGUUUCAUCCAAGUACCCCAACUUUGCCCAAUAGAGACAAUCCAGAUUACCUCAUCCCAGACCACCACCCUAUAAAAUAUAGCCCCCUUCUCCACCCAGGUGGAGUCCCCUAGCCAUCUAUGGGUUGCAGGCUCCUCCCUUGCUCUCCCUCCCUCUCCCAUUUCCCACAAUAAAGCUUGGCUAUAUUA